UGAUAGCGAUGAAGCGUGAGGUUGCUGUCUGGCGAAUAAAUAAGCUUAAGACAGGUUUUCCGUGGAGCGAAUGUCAAGUUAGGAAACUGGCGACAA
rnacentral:ncRNA from 1 species